GGGAUUGUACACUAAAAUAUGAGUGGGACGAGAAGACCCUAUGAAUCUUUAGUAUAUAUUUAUAAGAUAAUAAAUAUAUUGUAGAUAUAUAUUUUUGUUGGGGCGACGGAGAUUUAAAGAAUAACUUUAUUUGGAGCCGCUAUUAGCGAUUGUAUGAAUAAGAUACUCUAGGGAUAACAGCGUUAUUAUUUCAGAGAGAUCUUAUCGAUGAAAUAGAUUGCGACCUCGAUGUUG
rnacentral:rRNA from 1 species